UGGUGAUUUAUAUCAUUAACGAAUAGAUGAGAUAAAAGAGUGUUUCAUUUCAAUACACUUUGUGAGAAUAUGCGGAAAGCUGAUUCAGCCUCAAAAUUUAUUCGAUAUUAAGUACUGAAAUUUUCUAUCCAAUAUCAUCUAGUAGAUAUCUUUUUUUUUUUAAUUUUCAUUUUUCAUUCAGAUAAAAUUUAUGUCAGAAAAAAAAAGAAAGAAAGAAAUAGCACAAGUAAAUAAGAAAUAAUAGUUUCAUUUUAAAAUAAAAGGAUAAUAAAAAAAUAAAAUAGAAAAGAGUGAACUGAAGGAGGGAAACAAACAAUAACAAAAUAAAAAUACCAUUUCAAAAUUAUCUGUAUACAUGGUUAUUAAAGCAAAUUGCACAAAAGUAAAUUUGUUUUUUCAUCUGAAUUCUUUUCACAGAUAUAUCGUUAUUGUUGUAUUGAAAACUCCCAAACUUUACUUUAUAAAAUUAAUUCAUUAGCAUUGUACUUUAUUUUUUAGUGCAAUAUUGUGAAAAAAAUUUUUGCGUUUUUUCUUUAUCUUAUUAUAGCCUCUGUUUUAUUUCGUA